rnacentral:lncRNA from 1 species
AGAGCUCUCCUUGGGGGUGGAUGACAGAAUGAACAUUUACUCUGGGCUCACUGGAAAAGCUCCAACGUCUUGGAAAUUGAGUGGGUAAGCACAACCUUGAGCACAUUGUCAGCAUUCCAUUUCUUUUUUGAAUAAGAAUAUGCAGUUUUACCAAUAUCAUUGGUUCAAGAGGCUUUCCUUUCCCAGUUGUGUAUUCUCGGCACCUUUGUUGAAGAUCACUUGACUGUGUAUGUGUGCAUUUAGUUCUGGGCUCUCUUUUCUCUCCCAGGGGUUCUAAUGGGUGCCCUUAUGCUAGGACCAUGCUGUCUAAAUUUCUGUGGCUUUGUUGUAAAUUUGAAUCUUAUGAAUGUCUGUCCUCCAACACUAUUCUUUUUCAUGUUAUCAUGGCUAUUUGAGGCCAUGGGAAAAUUCAUAAAAAUAAUUUUAGGAUUAUCUUUUCCAUUUCUGCACACAUGGCCAUUACCAGUUCGAUAAUAGUUGUUUUGAGUCUGUAGAUCAUUUGUGUAAUAUUGUGUAUUAGUAAGAUUUAGACUUCCUAUCCAUGAAUACAGGAUGCCUUUUCACUUAUUUUUACCUUCUUUGCUUUCUUUCAGUAGUCUUUCUUUCUAAUCACUCUACAAGUAUUUCACCUCCUUGGUUAGGUUUAUUCCUAAGUAUUUAGUUAUUUUAGAUGUUAUUAUAAGUGGGAUUACAUUUGUCAUCUUCUUGUUGGAUCAUUCACUGUUGGUUUGUAUUAACAAACCAAUCAUUUGAAUAUUGGCCUUGUACCCUGCAACUUUGAUGUAAUUAUUAACACUAAUAGCAUUCUUGGAGAUUAUUUCUGAUUUUCUAUAUGUAGAAUGAUAGAGAAGUUCUCAGUUUCACACCUAUUUUCUCAAGAUAGUCUAUAUUGAUACUGUAAAGAUAUGCUCAUAUUCACCUACUGAAUGAUGUCCUUCCAAAAGGCCUUGUUAGAUUAUUCAAAAAAUAUUUUGUCAUUACAUUCCACAAUUUAAUAAAAAAUAGUAAUUCAUUGUC